GGUUAAGCGACUAAGCGUACACGGUGGAUGCCCUGGCAGUCAGAGGCGAUGAAGGGCGUGCUAAUCUGCGAUAAGCGCCGGUAAGGUGAUAUGAACCGUUAUAACCGGCGAUACCCGAAUGGGGAAACCCAGUGUGAUUCGUCACACUAUCAUUAACUGAAUCCAUAGGUUAAUGAGGCGAACCGGGGGAACUGAAACAUCUAAGUACCCCGAGGAAAAGAAAUCAACCGAGAUUCCCCCAGUAGCGGCGAGCGAACGGGGAGGAGCCCAGAGCCUGAAUCAGCAUGUGUGUUAGUGGAAGCGUCUGGAAAGGCGCGCGAUACAGGGUGACAGCCCCGUACACAAAAGCGCAUGUGCUGUGAGCUCGAUGAGUAGGGCGGGACACGUGGUAUCCUGUCUGAAUAUGGGGGGACCAUCCUCCAAGGCUAAAUACUCCUGACUGACCGAUAGUGAACCAGUACCGUGAGGGAAAGGCGAAAAGAACCCCGGCGAGGGGAGUGAAAAAGAACCUGAAACCGUGUACGUACAAGCAGUGGGAGCACCCUUUGGGUGUGA
rnacentral:rRNA from 1 species